CCAAUGCUGAAGAUGCUGCUGCUUCUGCUGCUUCUGGAGCCCACAGGCUCUGGGCUUGGUGCUCAUGUCUCUCAACAUCCAAGGAGGGCCAUCUGUAAGAGUGGGACCUCUGUGAAGAUCGAGUGUCGCUCUGUGGAUUUCCAGUACACAACUGUGUUUUGGUACCGCCAGUUCCCGAAAGAGAGCUUCGUGCUCAUGGCAACUUCUAAUACAGGCUCUGAUGUCACCUGGGAGAAAGGUUUUGCCCAGGAAAAGUUUCCCAUCACUCACCCAAACCUCACCUUUGCAUCUCUGAUGCUGACGGGUACACUUUCUGAAGACAGCAGCUUCUACUUCUGUGGUGCCAGUGACACAGUGCUGGGUGGAAGUCAGAGACCUAGGCAAGAAGGCUUGCAGCAGCCUGCCCCGCCCACCCUCAGACCCAGGAGCCCUGUGGGAGGAGCCUGGGGAGAGAAAACCACAGCUUCUCUCAAUGAGACCUUUGGAAGUGUCAAGAGUGAGAGAAGACAGAAGAAACCUAUAGGGAAGUCUUCAGAUGACAUGGUUGACAGAUCUAGAAAGUUCUGUCAGAAUGUAGAAGAUAAGUGGAACACUGAUGGCAGGAGUUUGGAAAAAUCAUUUCUAAGAGAUGAUUUCUCCAUUGACAACAAAUCUGCAUGA